AAACAAAUAAAGUUGGAGGUUUUAUAAUUCACAGUAGAGCAUCAGUUCAGAGUCUGAUGUAGAAAUGACCAAAUCCGCCCCAAAUAAAUUGCAGAUUCUCAAUUCUAUGCUCAAAUAAGGCAGCAUGUUCAUUCAAACUGACUGAUGUCUCAGAAGUCGUACAUAAAGAGGUUGAGCAAUGAGCAUUGAUAUAAAAAAAAGUCCAUUACUUAUUUUGAGCUCAGAAGAAUGAGGAAAUGAUUUCAUGUGAUUUAACAGAACUGAGAACAAUCUGUUAUUUUGUAAAAUGGCAGAAUACGUCAGCACAGAGCUUGUUCAGCAUUUUGAGUUCACUCUGGGGUUUUUUUUUGGGGGGGUUUGUAAUCAUCAUUUCUCAUGAGGAGACGUUCACUUAAACAUCAAGGAAUCAUUCCAGGCAUUUUAAACUCAAACACCAAACCAUAUUGUUUCAUAAUAUCGAGUGAAUCUGCCAUGAACCCCAAAUAUUCACUCAUAGUGUCAUUUCUGCUGCAUCUGAAAGGUGUAUUUGUUCAGACAGACACUGCGAGUGGUCGCACUGAAUCAGUCUGUGCUCCUACAGGAUCAUCUUUGACUCUUAGUUCCAGUUGUAAAUAUCCUGAUGGAUAUACAUUUCAGUCAUUGUGUAUCCACAGAUCAAACAGAGAAACAGUUGCAGAUCCUAGUAAGGACUCUCGGUAUAUAUAUAUAUAUAUAUAUAUAUAUAUAUAUAUAUAUAUAUAUAUAUAGAAAUGAUCACCAGAACUGUGACCUAACAAUUCAUGAUCUAAAAGAGACUCUGGCAUAUAUUAUAUGAGCUUUACUUACAGAAAAGGAAACUCUACCUUUAAGUCAACUAUUCCACCAGAAUUCACUGUACAUGUCACAGCUCUUCAGGUGACUGUUGACUGAGCGUGUGACUGAAGGUCAGAACGUCACACUGACCUGUAAGACCAGCUGCCCUCCGACCACCAGCAAACGCUCCUUCAUCUGGUGGAAGAACGAGGCGCGUUUGGACCCGUUUCUGUGGUGAACCGCGAGGAUUCAGUAUGUGGCAGGAAUCAUAACGCUUUCAUCUCUCCUGACUCUCAUUGCUCUGCUGUUGAUCUGUGCAGCUCUAAGAAAAAAACAACAAUCCUUUAAAAGACCCGAAGGAAAAGAGCAAAUCACACAGAAUGACAGUGUUAAUGCAAAGAACUCGACGCUGGCCGUGACCUUUGACCCGGGGGAGAAAGGAAAGUCAGUUCAUCAGGAGGAAGUUCAGUACUCUCAUGUCCAUUUCAGCAAGUUUCCAAACGCCCAAUCUUCUGUGAAGGAAGCUGAAGUCCAGUACUCUGAGAUCGCAGUGCUGCCCUCUACUGAGCGACACAACAACUGCAGUAUAUGAUGUCAGCUUAUACACGCUGCGUGUUUAACCCUGUAAAGCCUGACAUGUGUGUUUAUGUGCUUUUGUUAAAUAUCAUAUUUGAUGCAUCAGAUUUGCAUGGCUCAUAUAGUAUGAAUAUGGAGGAAAAAACACCUUAAUUUUAUUCAGAUUCAAAAAUAUUAAUUUUGGUGCAAAUGCUGAUAUUUAUAUGGACAAAAAGUAAGAUGAAAUUCUUAUGCUUGUAAUGUAAAUCAGAGAUCUCUUUAUAUCACUAUAACAGACUCCUAAAAUAAAAUGCAAAUAAAUAUCAGUACCAA